CAGUCCAUCCGUUGAGCAGAGGCAUUCUAAAGACUACACAUCCUGCUGCCUCAGGUGGACAGGUGACACCUGAUUAACUGCAGGAGUUAGUUACUCUCGCGCAGCAAGCUGCUGGACACCCUCCAAAUAUGGCCGUCACCACCAUAAAGGACAUGACCUCGACAUUUCUGAGCCAGCAAUUAAUUUACGUCACAGAAACAAAAUCCAAUUCAGUGGUGUGCACGCGCCACACCUCUUGGUGGAAGAGAGUAAUCCUCUAGUUUUGUGGAGGCCUACGUGACUGUUAUGACCAUAAUUGUCGACCUGGAAAACACAUAGCCUUGUCAUGCUGUUGAGACAGAGACUGUGGAAGAUGUUCGAGCCCAGUGCUGGAAACUCUCUAUGUCGUAGCCAUCUGCAUUGGCUUUUUGCUGCCUGGGACGGAUGCUUGGCGGAGCAGUUCUCAAUGUUACAGCAGGUGUUCCUGGAAGAUCGACCCGCAGGUGAACCUGUCGAGUUUGGGCUAGGCCUUUCUGGACCAGACCCUGGUUGAGUGCUCAUGGAAACGGUCCUCAGCAGUUCCAGAAGGAGAAACCGAGGAGAACGGGGGCGGAACAUUCCAGAAGGUGGGUCAUCGCCACUUCCUGGCUCUGUUAAAGCGCCCUUUGACGCGUGGAGAGCUCAUGUGUUUUCAGCGCAUCGGACCUUGUUGCCAGACGCAGUUAGUGGAGUCAAAUCCAAGGGCGUUCCGUCCAUUGCUGAUACCGGGGAAUCUGUGACCACAAGAGGGCGCAGCUAUUCCAAGAUGCUCGUGUUCUGUUAUGCGGUGCGUUGCGUGAUCCCGAUACUUAGAAGGGAAAGCACGGCGUGAACAGCUUAUCCUUCUCGGGUGUCAAGAUGGAGGAGAUGGAGCUUACAGAAACGCACGUGCUCAAAGGUAAGGCAAACCAGACCACGUGCUGUCACAUUUACCACACUGGCAAGCAAUGUAAUGACUCUGCAGAAUGACGCAAUCCAGGCAACUUCUGUAAAAACAACCAACGGCCGAUGGCAAGAAAAAAAAUGUAAUAAAUAAAU